UAAUACAUACAGGGUGAUUCACUAAGCUCGGUCUUCUCAUUUUCCCGGUUAAAUUUAGCGCGUGUUCAAAUUCUGAUUUCCGGAAUUUUCACGUGUAAUCCGUGACGGUAUUCUCGUAUAGUUGGAUUUUUCACAACAUUUAAGGAGCAUUCUGUGGCGAUACCGACUUUGGUUUUUCAAACGAGAACCGGUAUGCAAAACUCCACAAAUAGACGGGGUAUUAGUUUAAAUACAUUUUGGUGGUAAAAUAUUUGAUUCACCCCGACCCGCUGACGAGAUAUUCGGCUUUUAAGUGUACGUAGGGGGACAGUAGUGGAGCACUAAUGAAACGCCGGGCGCCGUGCCGGUGCCGCCACACAAAUGAUACUCUCUCCCUAUCUGAAUUUAAAAGUGGAAUGUCUCGUUAACGGGUCGACAAUUUUAACACCGAAAUGUGUUUAAAGUAAUACCGCGUAUAUUUAUGACAUUUUUAAUUUGGCCACUGAAGGCAUUUGAAGUUGGUGUCGCCAC